CCAACUUCGUCAUCACGUGGUGCGAUAUUUUCCCUAGGUGGUCUGGGAGAAGAGUGACGCGCUUGUAUUUGUUGUGUGUCGGAAACCAUGGUAUAGGUGGUGUCGUGUUUGAUCUGUGAAAAAGGGACAGGCGGGGUCGGGGUAUCCUCUACCUCCGCCGCUAACCGGAGCGGUGGCCCGAGCAGCUGUCGCACGACUGAGACGAAAGGUUACUCGAACACCCCCGCAUACAACGAUCGCGACUCGAGCCGGAGUUAACGUCCCUCUAUUUCGCACUGGACUACAAGUGCGUUCCUGACAACGUGCUCCGAGUCUCUUCACCGCACCAACUGUUGGUGCCAGAGGUUCCCGACUACGUCCUCGAGUCGUGGUUCCGACUGCUCCGACUCCUACGUGACCUACUCGAGGUGAUGAAGUAGUAGGUCCUACUAGAGCUGCCGUGGUUGAUACGGCAUGGCCUAGACCCACUACUCGAAGCUCCAGUACGAGCGGUACCAGCCGAACGAGAAGCGGUGUGAUAACCAUUGACGGAACGUACGAAAAGAACAAGUGUAUACGUAGCACUGCUACAAUGAUUAUUAGGUGUGUAGCGUUGGUUAGGGAUAACACUACCAGCUCUAUUCAACGGUAAACUGUCUCACCUCUACAGAUUCUUUUAGGUCAGUCACCAACUCCUUUAUGUGAGAAAUACACUGGGUCACAGGUUUAAUGAGUUCUAUUAAGGCGUCGUAUCGUCGUUGUCAGGUAAACAGUGGGAGUUUGCCGGAGAAUAUCCUAGUUGGUGACAUGUUCUAUCUAACAAACCUUCCUCUUUACACAAACUCGUUUGAUAUUUUCUAUAGUAGUGUUUAUCAUCACUCUGGGAAAGACAAUAAGGAUAUCAACCAGGCCCACCAUAACCUUUCUGUUGGAAGUGGGUUGUGGAUAUGUUACUACUUUCCUGAGUUGUUGUGAAAGGACAAUCCCGAACCCAGACACACAGUUGACUAAAACUGCACAAAUUCCAAUCGGUUCUCUAGGAAUCGACGUAUCUUCCUUUCUUUUGGCAUUUGGUUAGUUGUUCAAAUCUAGUCUAGGUUUAUAGGUAGUGCGCCCUUGAGUUCGGAUUUUCCAAAAAUUAACAGAACCUACUAUAUACCCUUACGUUAUCGGUUCCAACCCUUUUAGACGAUCGAGGUGAGUACUUCCCGCUCCGGUUCCCAUCGUACCAAGAACAGUGUUGAGCCAAGGGCAGAUUUCGACUAUAACAAUUUUGUUGACUGGGUUAUCGUGACUUUCCGGAACUCGGGCUACUUAAGAAGUGUAAGAAACUUAGUAAAUAUAAACGACCUGUUUUUGGACUCCCAAUGGUACUACCGAACUGAGCAUAACGUUCCCUAUAACGGUUCUUCAACUUCCCAAGUGGAGAUCGUCGGUUUUGUCAACCAGCUUACAACUUUUUCCUAGAUAGAACCCUUAUAACCUACUCUCAUGAACUUUUGUUACUUACCGUUUUGCUUUUUUUACGACUACUGUAAAACGGUAGAAAUUCUUAAUCGAUACUAAUGGAAGGAAAGGUAGAUUUUUUUACGAAGGGUAUAAAACGGAACAAGGGACUUCUAGUAUCCAAAUUCUUAAAUCUCUAAUAUAUAAAAAACUAACGUUAGCCUUAGUAUCUGUUUCUACUCUUAAUGUACCUGCUUGAUCACCUGUUACCAAAAGAACACUUCCUCUUACUACUAGCCCUCCUAGUUAUAAUACAUAACGUACUAGAUAACGUACUUAAUCGUGCUUUAUAAAGUAGUUUUCUUACGGAGUUAUAUAUAUCAUCACGUUCAAAAUCUCGGUAAAGGUGGGGUUUUAGAAAAGCAGUGAACAGGUAGUGGUACUUUUUGUUUAUACUACCCUUGAAGUGCCCUCUUUAACAAUUUAAAUUCUCGCUACAUCUGAAACAUUUAAACGCAUGAAACUACUAAAAAUCUCCUGUACGUCCUUGAUAACUACACUAAAACUUUCUAUAAAAGUUCCUGUAUUUUCCAGAAGCACAGGAUAUGUAUCUACAGCUCAGGGGUCUUAUAAAGGGUGUGUUGGAAAGUUUUAAAUAGGUGGAGGCUAUGGAUUUUUAAUGUUCUAUAUUGAGAUCGAGUGUUUACUGAAACGGAUCGUAUAAUACGUCUAAGAUAGUGAACUUUAUAAACCUGGAUUCAUCCACCAUACCAUCACUAUUCAACGGAUUUCUGUAAUCGGUGGAAUGGUUAAAUACGGUAAAUAAUCAUUGUUUUCUUGAGUUAAGGCUAUAAGGACUCCAACCUUUCUACUUUACGAACUUCCCCGAAUCUUUUAAAGUACAGUUCUUUCUCUCACAACCUAAACUUAACUCACUCAACCCAUUCAAUUGACUCGAACCUCCUUUUGAGUCAUAUAUAUUAGAACUUUUCCACCGUUGGGUUCUUCUCCGAUGUUUACGGUUUGACCACAGUUUUCGACUAAACUUUUUCAACCUCAAUGAAACCCCGUGUCUUGUGCUAGUCCCUCUUAGACUCCAGGAACCACUAUCAUGUCUUAAUAGACUACAAUAACUACCAGAACUUGGUGUAGGUUUAGAAGUUAGUGAACAAUAAUUUUUAGUGCCACCGAGUUAGACAGGAUCAACCAACACACCAAGGUAACCGGAUGAUUACGACUGCAGGGAGACGGAUCUCCUACAAAGAACCUGGUAAGAAGGUGAACCCGCAGACGAUGUAGAGUGCAGUGAGUGUAACUCCUUAUAAGGAUCUGAACCAGUCUAGUAUAGACCGAGAAGACUGUAAUGUCUGUCUUCAAAAAGCGCCAACUUCUUCUAACAGGAACAAACCAACGGUCUUAAUUGGCUCACCCAACCCUGCGAAUUACGGGUAAACAAAAGUUCCGAACUCAAACAUGAAACGUUACCUACGGGGUUAGACCCACGAAACGGGAAGAACGCCCUCCCGAGACGGAGAAUAUGGUCGGACAGCUGUGAAGCUUAAUAGUUGACGGGGUUCAACAAGGACGGGAGGUACGGCCAUUAAGUACCAACAUACCUCGUGGGACUUGUACUGAACAGAAACUGUUCCGUAUCACCGCGAAAAGUUCAACGUAGUUUUAAAUGUACCCGCGUUGAGGGUUUCGAUUGGAGGGAAUUCCUUGAAUACUAACAUCUUCUAGGUCCGAAAGACAGUUAAAGAGACGAGAGUUUGGAAUGUAGAAACUGUUCAGAUUUUGAACUUCUAACGCUCUUAAACCUUCAUCUACCCAAGUUAGGAGAGUAGUGUCGACAGUUGGAGUUCUUUGACCACCAGUUGUUGUACCCUGCUCUAGCAGGAGCGAGAAAUCGUCGUCUCUAGAAAACAGUCUUAACCAACAACGUUUGUUCUGGUUUGUCAACAACGGACUACGUCCGACGAAAGUUAACCUAUUAAAAAGUCACCUAUCGUCGAGCCGCCACGACCAACGUGGGCAUACGUCGGAGAAGCGGCGAUGAGAGGUGCUCAAUAUGUAGGCCAAACUGGUCGCCCAACUCUCGAAGUGCCUUCUCCUUCUCUUACGCGAAGUCGAGGAGUGGAGGGAGGUUGUUGACAUGAAAACCUUAACGGGUCCAGAAGGUAGGGAGGGAGCUCCCAAUGUGUCUGAAAGAAGAGAGCUCGAAGAUAGUUAGCUAUCAACAGGUCUUUAGGUCAAUGACGGGUUCCUCCCGGAGGGGCGAAGGAACGUUCUAGAUAAACAUUACUCUACGUCAGGACUCGAUUGGCUGGUUCGGUUCUUAAAUUUUCGUUGUAUAGGUCCCAUCCAUUGAUUGCUUUGGAGGGGCGUCGGUUCGUAUUGAUCGACAACAAUGGUUAAAUAAGAGAAGAGAGAUGAUGUAUAUAUAUCACGACUAAAUAUAUAAGGCAGUCCGAAGGACCUUGUCGAUGCACUAUGUACAGUGUACGAGUUUAACGAUCGACGUUACACCAUGGGAACAUCUCUAAUACCUAGGCACUUGAAUGAAUAUAUGUACAUUUUCAUCGUCGAUAGAUGGAGAAUAACGGUGGAUAUAAAACAACUUUAUAUAACAGAGUAAUCAAGCCUGAAAACCUACUCAACCGACCUCGUACUUAAGUUAUAGCAUAGGCUCGGUUCUCCAGAACUCAAGUUCUGGGACGGUUGCGUCAUAAUUUAUUUUGCUAAGACACCGGAUGUAGCUAGGGUGUAAAUUCCUGAUUUUAUCGGAUCUGCACUCCCCCUCACAACUUUAUAUAACAGGCGGAGGGAGGUAGUAAAGCCUAAAAACUUACUCAACCGACCUCAUACUUAAGUUAUAUAACAGGCGGAGUCAGAUGGCACGCUUCCGGAAACCGGUAGUUCAGCUGUUGUAACACAGUAAGUGGCACUCCGUUACUACAAACUGACAAGGUACCGUUAUGAGGGAAAGUUCUCACAGUAAAGGAUAUAAGAAGUCACGGAUACUACUUUAUCGAUACACUGGUAAGUACAUCAUUCACCGUGGCGAAUUAAUAUACAAACUGGACAACAUAUGUAAAGGCACAUGAUCUUUCGCUCUCUUAUAAAGACAAUUUGUAUAGGAUACUCUUUUAAGUAUAUUGUGGCUUCCAUUAUAUAGCACCACGAAAAGAACAUUAAACCUUACACCAUUAAUAGGAUUGGAGGUCCGAUAGCUUACAACGUCCAGAGUCUCGUGUUUCCAUAAAAGUAGCUACCGAAGGAACGUCAUGACCAGCUAAGAGACCACGUACGUUAACGAAGGUCCACUAAACUAUAUACCAAUACAAAGUACCAGUUGGAGUUGGGAGUCUCAAAGUCAAGAUCGAAUCGUCCACGCACACACAGUGGUACAACUGCUUGGACUUAGUACUGCUUCUUCGAUAUAUACCGCUUCCUUCGCUGAUUGGUGGUCAGCUGACCAGCGAUUGGUAGUCUAGGCGUGCUAUGAAAGCUACCGACUUUGUUGCGAAGUGUAGAUACACGUUAGAGCGUACGUCGCAACGCCACGUUAGAGGGUAUGUGUAUAAAACCAAACGUACCUCACGUGCAGGAUAACUUGGGUUAAUUAUUACGUACGUACAUCUAUUCUUUUUUUCUACUACAGUCGUUUCUAAGGUAAUCUUUAAUUUGAAGUUUUACAAAACAUCGACUUUGGCAACCAGGCUAAUUUUUUGGCAAAAGUGUAUUUUCUAAGCAGCGCUGCUUUGGAAGUUUUGAUUUAGGGUACAACCAUACAAAGCUACUAAAAAAAGCCCACUUUUCAAUGGUCUGGAUCCGAUUCAUUCAAUAGUGGACACACCAUGCAGUCAAUGGUAGUACAAAUGUACCUUUAAUGGCCCCGCAUUUUUAACGAGGAGGUUGUAAGAGAGGAGUACGUUUUUGUCAUCUCGUGUCUUUUGGACUACAUUAACAUUUAGGAGUGAUAAAGCUUUUACAAAAUAUUGAGUUUGGCAGUUAAAACUAACUUUUUAGCAAAAGUGUAUUUUUUAGGUGGUGCUACUCUUGAAGUUUUGAUCUAGAGCACAACUGUACAAAUCUAGUGAAAAAACCAGUUUUCAAUGACAUUUCAAUAGUCAAUACAAUAUACAUAUAAUUGUACAAUAAAUAUGUCUUCACUGGUCUCUACACAAAAUUUGCUGAAGAAGGGGGACCCAGUUUAAAUGACACCAUAAAUAUAGAUUCAAUAGUCGAG
rnacentral:rRNA from 1 species